GCAGGUGCUGAUCUCCAUCGUUUGACCGAAGGUAAUGAACUGAGAUGUUGUUAGGGGAUUGGGGAGAAACACCCACGUAAUUGAGCUAUCACCUGAUUCAUUCAUCACAACAGUGGAAAGAAGAGUUUUGAUUCUGGUAAGCGUCGAAAGAGAUCUCGGACCAACCAAAAUGUUUUCUCCAUCCCUUCUUUUCCUGGUCAAACAUGAAAAGGAGCUCUAAUGGCUUUCUCGUGACACGUCUACAGAGCUUCGGUGGAUCUCCUUUGGACUAGUCUCGCAAGGGAUAAAUGCAUCGAAACAACACAACUCGUGCUCUCGAAAGACGUCCGAGUUCAAGGAACAAACCGCUUUCCGAGAGCUUGCUGCCCGGAACGGAAGAAUCAUGAACCACCGUGGAAGUUGUUGAUGGCGCAGACACUAGAUUUCUCUCUCGUUAACUUGAUGUUAAUCAUGUCACCAUGACUUUCGUGUUCCGUGCAGCAGAGAAGUCGGUGGAUUUGGCACACUAAAUGUGAGAAAUACAUGGGUCAUUUUGCCAGGUUUGAGUGCCGAUGCAGAUGGUAUUGAAUGUUCAUCAGGUGAUCGAGACUACCAUGGUUUAUUGCAUCUACCAGAUUGCUGGUUUAAGAACUCCAUGCAUGUCUUCUUUGGUCAUGCCUUCUGUGAACUCAGCGAGUAUGCAUGAACAGAUGGUUUUCUGCACCAAACAAUGAAAUUGUCGAUGCCUUAAUGUCUUCUGCCAUUGGUUCUCCUUUGCAUUAUGAGAACUACAUAUA
rnacentral:lncRNA from 1 species